GUGCCAGCCGCCGCGGUAAUACCGGCAGCUCAAGUGAUGUCCCAUAUUAUUGGGCCUAAAGCGUCCGUAGCUGGCCGACCAAGUCUCCCGGGAAAUCCACCUGCCCAACGAGUGGGCGUCCGGCGGAAACUGUGCGGCUUGGGACCGGAAGAUCCAAGGGGUACGUCCGGGGUAGGAGUGAAAUCCCGUAAUCCUGGACGGACCACCGAUGGCGAAAGCACCUUGGAAGGACGGAUCCGACAGUGAGGGACGAAAGCUAGGGUCUCGAACCGGAUUAGAAACCUCGGUAGUCC
rnacentral:rRNA from 1 species